AUACGGAGGGUGCAAGCGUUAUCCGGAUUUACUGGGUUUAAAGGGUGCGUAGGUGGAACUUUAAGUCAGUGGUGAAAUGUCAGUGCUUAACGCUGAGACUGCCAUUGAUACUAUCGUUCUUGAAUUAUGUUGAGGUAUGCGGAAUACAACAUGUAGCGGUGAAAUGCAUAGAUAUGUUGUAGAACCCCGAUUGCGAAGGCAGCAUGCUAAACAAGGAUUGACACUGAAGCACGAAAGCGUGGGGAGAGAACAGGAUUAGAUACCCUGGUAUUCCACGCCCUAAACGAUGAUUACUCGUCAUUGGCGAAAUUGGGAGUCAGUGACCAAGCGAAAGCGUUAGGUAAUCCACCUGGGAAGUACGUCCGCAAGGAUGAA
rnacentral:rRNA from 1 species